rnacentral:rRNA from 1 species
UACGUAGGGUGCAAGCGUUGUCCGGAAUUAUUGGGCGUAAAGAGCUCGUAGGCGGUGUGUCACGUCGGCCGUGAAAACCUGGGGCUCAACUCUGGGCGUGCGGUCGAUACGGGCAUCACUAGAGUUCGGUAGGGGAGACUGGAAUUCCUGGUGUAGCGGUGAAAUGCGCAGAUAUCAGGAGGAACACCGGUGGCGAAGGCGGGUCUCUGGGCCGAUACUGACGCUGAGGAGCGAAAGCGUGGGGAGCAAACAGG